AUCCAGCUGACGAGUCCCAGUAUAGGAAAAAACGCGCGUCCUGGAU
rnacentral:hammerhead_ribozyme from 1 species